CCCGGGGCCGCGCGAUGAAAGGAGAUAAACCGGGGCGGUUUCCAGGCCUCCCCGGGCGGACCCCGCCGCCCCGCGGCCCGGGAGCGACGCGGGGGAGAUCAAAGACAGCGGAGAAAGGGGAAACGGCCGGAGUCACCCACUGACUCCGGCAGCCAAGCGCUGCCUGCAGAUAUUAGAUUACAAUGGAGCUAUUCAUUACGCCGAGACAACAAUUGAAUUAAGGAGAAGAGCGACCAGGGGGACACGGCGCAGCCCUGGGGCCGGCGGGGACCCUGCGGCCACCGCGCACUGGGACUGUCCACGCCGCUGGCACCGCACGCGAUGGCCAGAGCAAGCGCGGCCGCGGGAGCCACCUCCCCCCCGUCCCCCGUGAAUAUGCAGCGCGGCGCCGUGGACCUCGGCUCGCCGCCGUGCUCCGGGGGAACGCGUUAAAAUACUGCAAUUGAAUCUCCCUCUCCAUCUGGGAAAGGACGGGAACAGGGCUCCAGCCUGUUAAAUAAUAUUAUGGAUUAAUCCAGCGCACUAAAUAAUUGCCUAAUAGGAGUGCACAAGGCAAAUCUCCGCAUUUGGGUAAUUGCGUGUUGGGCGCCUGUGAGUAAUGCAAUUGUUUGGGGCUGGCUCAUUGUUCCGGCCACUAUUAGUCAAGGAGCAAAUUAGAAACAAUUUCUUG